CUACCGGGGUUUCUAAUCCCGUUCGCUCCCCUGGCUUUCGUGCCUCAGCGUCAGAAAAGACCCAGUGAGCCGCUUUCGCCACGGGUGUUCCUGGUGAUAUCAACGCAUUUCACCGCUCCACCACCAGUUCCGCUCACCUCUAUCUCCCUCCAGCCCGCCAGUCUGAAGCGCAGUGCCCCGGUUGAGCCGGGGCCUUUCACACCUCACUUGACGGGCCGCCUACGCACUCUUUAAGCCCAGUGAUUCCGAAUAACGUUUGGACGGUUCGUCUUACCGCGGCUGCUGGCAC
rnacentral:rRNA from 1 species